ACGGCAGUGAUCUAGCGGCUAUGAUACGAGCUUCCCAAGCUUGUUACCCGGGUUCAAAUCCCGGCUGCCGUA
rnacentral:tRNA from 1 species